rnacentral:rRNA from 1 species
GUCUAUGGCAAUGCUACCCUGAACAAGCCCGAUCCCAUCCCAUCUGAUCUCGGAAGCUAAGGAGGGUCGGGCCUGGUUAGUACUUAGAUGGGAGACCCCCUAGGAAGACCAGGUGCUGUAGGUG